GCUGCGCGCCGGACGGGGCCCAAGCGGGGGUCGGAGCCUCAAGGCUGCGGCGGCGACGAGCUCCGAGCGGGACACUGAACGGCCCGUAUGCGCAAGAUAAGCACGGACUGAAUCAGGUACACGCACCUGCCGGGGACGCACUGACCGAGGUGCGGACGGCGGUACCAGGACAGGUAAAGCCGCGAACACUCGGACCUAAGAACUUGACAGGUACACCCUGCCUGAUGAAGCUACGUACGGCCAGGUGCGCAUCGAGUGAAUCAGGGUGAGAACCUACUUCUUCAUAAAGAGAAUUUGGAGGGAGCUUUUUGUUCUGCGGGGACAACAUCUGGAUUUGAAUACAUCCAUGCUCAAAAGGAGAUUUCUCAUAAUGGACCCAACUGAAAGCACUCAGAGUACAAGGACCGGUGAGCUUUCAAAAGGAGACACUUCGGGAGACUCGCCAGGGGCCCUCGUAUCCCCGGCAGCGCGAGUUUUGGAGGUCAGUGGAGGGCUCUCGCAUCAUGCAUGUAACUUUCAUACUCAAAAACUUACCUUCAUCCUGCAUCCCUCACCCCCCUGCAGAAACUUGGGGCUUGAAUUCAUUUAAAAACAUUUGCGGUUUCAGAAGCCUUCUUUUUAUUAUGAAGCUGCCAAGGAGAUCUUAGAAUGAAAGGCAUUUUUAGAGAUGAGAAAGAAGGAAGCCAGGCCAAGGCUGGGCCGGCUCUCAGCCGUGGGUCUGUAAAGGUGACACGUGGGACAUGGCCACCUGCAGACCCUGCAGGCGGCUGGGCAGAGGCACCCACAGGGACCUGGGUUUGAAUCCCUGCUCUGCCAGUCAUUUCCACAGCGAUCUUGGGGGAAGUUGUGUAACCUCUGGGCCCUGCGACGCCCUUUCCUGGAGCCUGGAGCUGGAACGAAGCCCCUUGGAGCCCUGACAUCAGAGGUGACGUUAGUCUUCGCAGGCAAUGACUCGGCGGAAUGUGAUGCCACUCCCUAACCCGUGUCCGGACUGGCAGAGUGUGUGCCGCCUCCCACCAGGUGGUCUGGCUGCUUUGAUGGAUCUCCUAACUUCUCUGCACCCCAGAGCCCUCAGUGCUGGCCAGACCUUCACUCACUCCUGGGUGACAACCCCGUUCUCAGAUAGUGGGUCCCACAGGCUGGCCUGUGGCGCCCCCUGCUGGUGACUGCAGGGAGAAGGAUGCCCUAAGCCAAAGGAAGUCCUUCCUGGGGUCUAAUCUCUACCUUUUGCAUGAUGAGGCAGCUGAGGUGGCUCGCUUUUUA
rnacentral:lncRNA from 1 species